GCGCAGCUCGUCCGGCCCGCCCGCAGGCCAGCUUCUCUCGGGAGCCUCCACCCAGGCGCAUGGCUCCAUGAAGCAAGAGGAGGAGGCAGAGCGCGAGAGAUCCCGUCCGCCCCAGCCGCGUCUGGGCCAGGAGAAAAGCAAAACCAUAUUCCUGCUGCUGUCAGUUUUGAUGCACUGAGAAAACUUCAGAGACCUAAGCUUUUUCCAGAGAAGAGAAGCUUUACUGGUGUUCCAGCCCUAAGGCUCAUAUGACAUUAACAGACAAGACACUUUUCAGAAAGACAGAUGGAGUCUCUCUGUCACCCAGACUGGAAUGCAGUGGCAUGAUCUUGGUUCACUGAAACCUCUGCCUUUCUGGUUCAAGCAAUUCUCAUGUUUCAGCCUCCCAGGCAACGUGUUGGACCUUCCGGAGCUUCUCAGAAGACAGAGGGUUUUCUUUUGAGGCUGUUGUACAGUGGCCUGAUUAUAGCUCACUGUAGCCUCGAAAUUCUGGGCCGAAAUGAUCCGCCUGCCUCAGCCUCCAAAGUAGCUGAGACUACAGGUAUUGUUUGGGUUUUAAUACAGACAAAUCAACUCAAUCAAAGAAACCAACUCAAAGAAAGAUGGGUCUACAUACAACAAAACUGAACAAAAUCUGCAAGAAGAGUGAUUCAUACAUGGGCUAUUGAGGCAACAUGAGAUGGACAUUAAUCGACUAAGUAAAAAACAGAUUUCUUGAAGAAUUAAUAAAGAACUUUUGUUUUGGAA
rnacentral:lncRNA from 1 species